UACGUAGGGCGCAAGCGUUGUCCGGAAUUACUGGGCGUAAAGAGCGCGCAGGCGGUCGUUCAAGUCGAGUGUGAAAGCCCCCGGCUCAACUGGGGAGGGUCACUCGAUACUGAUCGACUCGAAGGCAGGAGAGGGUAGUGGAAUUCCCGGUGUAGUGGUGAAAUGCGUAGAUAUCGGGAGGAACACCAGUGGCGAAGGCGACUACCUGGCCUGUUCUUGACGCUGAGGCGCGAAAGCUAGGGGAGCAAACGGG
rnacentral:rRNA from 1 species